rnacentral:lncRNA from 1 species
UAUUUCGAUAAGUUCGAAAUAACACCCUUUAAGGCCAAGGGCCUUCUCAAAAGAAGAAGAGUUCGACCUUGAUCGAAUGAGGAUGGGUUAACAUUUUGAUAAGUUCGAAAUAACGCCCUUUAAGGUCAAGGGGUUUUGGCCAAUGAAGAAGAGUUCAACCUUGAUCGAACGACGACGGGUUAAUAUUUCGAUAAGUUCGAAAUAACACCCUUUAAGGCCAAGGGCCUUCACCAAAGAAGAUUAGUUCGACCUUGAUCGAAUGACGAUGGGUUAACAUUUCGAUAAGUUCGAAAUAAAACCCUUUAUGGCCAAGGGACUUUGCCAAAGAAGAAGAGUUCGAUCUUGAUCGAACGAUGACGGGUUAAAUUUUCGACAAGUUAGAAAUAAUACACUUUAAGGCCAAAGAAGAAGUUUUCGACCAUGAUAGAACGACGACGGGUUAAUAUUUUGACAAGUUCGAAAUAAUACACUUUAAGGCCAAGGCCUGCGUCAAAGAAGAAGUGUUCGACCUUGAUCGAACGACGACGGGUUAAUAUUUUGACAAGUUCGAAAUAAUACACUUUAAGGCCAAGGGCCUUCGCCAAGAAGAAGAGUUCGACCUUGAUCGAACGACGACGGGUUAUCAUUUCGAUUAGUUCGAAAUAACAACCUUAAGGACAAGGUCCUUCGUCUAAGAAGAAGAGUUCGACCUUGAUCGAAUGACGACGGGUUAACAUUUUGAUAACUUCGAAAAGACACCCUUUAAGGUCAAGGGCCUUCGCCAAAGAAGAAGAGUUCGACCUUGAUCGUACGACGACGGGUUAAUAUUUCUACAAGUUAGAAAUAACACCCUUUAAGGCCAAUGGCCUUCUCCAAAGAAGAAGAGUUCGACCUUGAUCGAAUGACGACGGGUUAACAUUUCGAUAAGUUCGAAAUAACAUCCUUUAU